rnacentral:rRNA from 1 species
GACGAACGCUGGCGGCGUGCCUAAUACAUGCAAGUCGAACGAACCGCGACUAAGUGCUUGCACUAAGUCAAGGUGAGUGGCGAACGGGUGAGUAACACGUGGGUAACCUACCUCAUAGUGGGGGAUAACAGUCGGAAACGACUGCUAAUACCGCAUAGGACAUAGGAUCACAUGAUCCAGUGAGGAAAGGUGGCGCAAGCUAUCGCUAAGAGAUUGACCCGCGGUGCAUUAGCUAGUUGGUAGGGUAAAGGCCUACCAAGGCGAUGAUGCAUAGACGACCUGAGAGGGUGGUCGGCCACAUUGGAACUGAGACGCGGCCCUAGCUACUACGGGAGGCAGCAGUAGGGAAUCUUCCGCAAUGGACGCAAGUCUGACGGAGCAACGCCGCGUGAGUGAAGAAGGUCUUCGGAUCGUAAAGCUCUGUUGUUAGAGAAGAACAGCGCAUAGAGUAACUGCUAUGCGUGUGACGGUAUCUAACCAGAAAGCAACGGCUAACUACGUG